rnacentral:rRNA from 1 species
AUUAGAGUUUGAUCCUGGCUCAGAUUGAACGCUGGCGGCAGGCUUAACACAUGCAAGUCGAGCGGAGAGAGGUAGCUUGCUACUGAUCUUAGCGGCGGACGGGUGAGUAAUGCUUAGGAAUCUGCCUAUUAGUGGGGGACAACAUUUCGAAAGGAAUGCUAAUACCGCAUACGUCCUACGGGAGAAAGCAGGGGAUCUUCGGACCUUGCGCUAAUAGAUGAGCCUAAGUCGGAUUAGCUAGUUGGUGGGGUAAAGGCCUACCAAGGCGACGAUCUGUAGCGGGUCUGAGAGGAUGAUCCGCCACACUGGGACUGAGACACGGCCCAGACUCCUACGGGAGGCAGCAGUGGGGAAUAUUGGACAAUGGGCGCAAGCCUGAUCCAGCCAUGCCGCGUGUGUGAAGAAGGCCUUAUGGUUGUAAAGCACUUUAAGCGAGGAGGAGGCUACUUUAGAUAAUACCUAGAGAUAGUGGACGUUACUCGCAGAAUAAGCACCGGCUAACUCUGUGCCAGCAGCCGCGGUAAUACAGAGGGUGCAAGCGUUAAUCGGAUUUACUGGGCGUAAAGCGCGCGUAGGCGGCUAAUUAAGUCAAAUGUGAAAUCCCCGAGCUUAACUUGGGAAUUGCAUUCGAUACUGGUUAGCUAGAGUGUGGGAGAGGAUGGUAGAAUUCCAGGUGUAGCGGUGAGAUGCGUAGAGAUCUGGAGGAAUACCGAUGGCGAAGGCAGCCAUCUGGCCUAACACUGACGCUGAGGUGCGAAAGCAUGGGGAGCAAACAGGAUUAGAUACCCUGGUAGUCCAUGCCGUAAACGAUGUCUACUAGCCGUUGGGGCCUUUGAGGCUUUAGUGGCGCAGCUAACGCGAUAAGUAGACCGCCUGGGGAGUACGGUCGCAAGACUAAAACUCAAAUGAAUUGACGGGGGCCCGCACAAGCGGUGGAGCAUGUGGUUUAAUUCGAUGCAACGCGAAGAACCUUACCUGGCCUUGACAUAGUAAGAACUUUCCAGAGAUGGAUUGGUGCCUUCGGGAACUUACAUACAGGUGCUGCAUGGCUGUCGUCAGCUCGUGUCGUGAGAUGUUGGGUUAAGUCCCGCAACGAGCGCAACCCUUUUCCUUAUUUGCCAGCGAGUAAUGUCGGGAACUUUAAGGAUACUGCCAGUGACAAACUGGAGGAAGGCGGGGACGACGUCAAGUCAUCAUGGCCCUUACGGCCAGGACUACACACGUGCUACAAUGGUCGGUACAGAGGGUUGCUACCUAGCGAUAGGAUGCUAAUCUCAAAGAGCCGAUCGUAGUCCGGAUUGGAGUCUGCAACUCGACUCCAUGAAGUCGGAAUCGCUAGUAAUCGCGGAUCAGAAUGCCGCGGUGAAUACGUUCCCGGGCCUUGUACACACCGCCCGUCACACCAUGGGAGUUUGUUGCACCAGAAGUAGCUAGCCUAACUGCAAAGAGGGCGGUUACCACGGUGUGGCCGAUGACUGGUGUGAAGGCGUAACAAGGUAACCAAU